CUCUUAUUAAGAGAGGUGGAGGGACGUGCCCUAUGAAACCCGGCAACCGUCAGCAUAGCUGAAAUUGGUGCCAAUUCACUCAAAGCCGCAAUGCUUUGAAAGAUGAGAG
rfam:Bacillus pumilus SAFR-032, complete genome.